CAAAUUAGAGCUUGAAAAAGUAUUUCAUUUACAUUGAGAAGAUUAUUAAUAAUAUUAAUUAAUUUGA
rnacentral:tRNA from 1 species